AUUGAACGCUGGCGGCAGGCUUAACACAUGCAAGUCGAGCGGAGAUGAGGUGCUUGCACCUUAUCUUAGCGGCGGACGGGUGAGUAAUGCUUAGGAAUCUGCCUAUUAGUGGGGGACAACAUUCCGAAAGGAAUGCUAAUACCGCAUACGUCCUACGGGAGAAAGCAGGGGAUCUUCGGACCUUGCGCUAAUAGAUGAGCCUAAGUCGGAUUAGCUAGUUGGUGGGGUAAAGGCCUACCAAGGCGACGAUCUGUAGCGGGUCUGAGAGGAUGAUCCGCACAGAUGGAACUGGGAGACGACCCAGACGCCUACGGGAGGCAGCAGUGGGGAGUAUUGGACAAUGGGGGAAACCCUGAUCCAGCCAUGCCGCGUGUGUGAAGAAGGCCUUAUGGUUGUAAAGCACUUUAAGCGAGGAGGAGGCUACUGAGACUAAUACUCUUGGAUAGUGGACGUUACUCGCAGAAUAAGCACCGGCUAACUCUGUGCCAGCCGCCGCAGUAA
rnacentral:rRNA from 1 species